UACCUCUAACCUGAGCUACGUUGGUCAUA
rnacentral:piRNA from 1 species